AAUUUUGGACAAGGGGUGCAAGCCUGAUCCAGCCUUGCCGCGUGAUUGAAGAAGGCCUUCGGGUUGUAAAGCUCGUUCGGUCGGAAAGAAAGUGCACCGGCUAAUACCCGGCGCUAUUCACUUUACCGUCAGAAUCAGCACCUGCUAACUACUUGCCAUCAGCCGCGGUAAUACGUAGGGUGCGAGCGGUAUUCGGCAUUACUGCGCGUAAAGCGUGCGCAGGCGGUUGAUUAAGACAGGCGUGAAAUCCCCGGGCUUAACCUGGGAACUGCGCUUGUGACUGGUCAGCUAGAGUACGGCAGAGGGGGGUGGAAUUCCACGUGUAGCAGUGAAAUGCGUAGAGAUGUGGAGGAACACCGAUGGCGAAGGCAGCCCCCUGGGCCGAUACUGACGCUCAUGCACGAAAGCGUGGGUAGCAAACAGG
rnacentral:rRNA from 1 species